GGGCCUGAGUGUCGCCUAAUCACAGCAGGAGACGGCACACCGUGCUUCUCGCCCAUCGGAAAUGACAGUCGCUUCUUCGCGGACCCCACAGGUGUCACCCUCUCAGGAGUAACUUCUUCGAUCUUCUCAGCCAAUUCGCUCUGGAACCUCGUCCUGGCUCUUGCUGACUUCGUGGGCGCCAUGUAACUAGGAACAGCUGGCGAGCUUGCAAGGCUAGCGACACUUUCAUCGUCCCUCACCGAGGACCCUGCCACACUGUGCCUACGGUACCGUUCCGACUGUAUGCU
rnacentral:misc_RNA from 1 species